GACGAACGCUGGCGGCGUGCUUAACACAUGCAAGUCGAACGGAAAGGCCCUGCUUUUUUGGUGUGCUCGAGUGGCGAACGGGUGAGUAACACGUGAGUAACCUGCCCUUGACUUUGGGAUAACUUCAGGAAACUGGGGCUAAUACCGGAUAGGAGCUCCUGCUGCAUGGUGGGGGUUGGAACGUUUCGGCGGUUGGGGAUGGACUCGCGGCUUAUCAGCUUGUUGGUGGGGUAGUGGCUUACCAAGGCUUUGACGGGUAGCCGGCCUGAGAGGGUGACCGGCCACAUGGGGACUGAGAUACGGCGCAGACUCCUACGGGAGGCAGCAGUGGGGAAUAUUGCACAAUGGGCGGAAGCCUGAUGCAGCAACGCCGCGUGCGGGAUGACGGCCUUCGGGUUGUAAACCGCUUUCGCCUGUGACGAAGCGUGAGUGACGGUAAUGGGUAAAGAAGCACCGGCUAACUACGUG
rnacentral:rRNA from 1 species